rnacentral:misc_RNA from 1 species
UUUCAACUGAUGUUUUGCUUGAUGGCAGAUUGCUAAUCCCAGGGCCAUUUAAAGAAGCAGCAAUCUUUAUAUAGUUCUCAAAAGCUGUAGACAGCAUGGGGAUUAUUGGGGGUAAAAGAUUCUGUGCUAGAAAAUAACUCCUGUUUGCAGGUACAGAUAGGACUACUUGCAAAAAUUUUAUAAGGUGUAUCAUAACCUGGCAAACUUCAGGUUUUGAUGUAUGAGAAG